rnacentral:lncRNA from 1 species
CUCCUAUUACAUCAAGAACCGACAAAAGAGAUGAGAAGAAAGACAAAAACUCUAUGCCAAAACACACCGUUCUUCCCAACAUAAGAAACUGCAGAACGUUAACAAGAUCAUGGAAAAAAAUUCUGCAACUCAAAUUACCUGGGUUGCAAAUCUUCCAUGACUCCAAGGCGUUACUAGAGUGCGCACCAGGGCUACCUGGGCUGGGCGUGCCGCAGAGGUUGGGCGAGGACUUGGUGGCCGACAGAGACGGCCCUGAGCUCGUGCUCGUGGGAAACGACAUCCUGGGCUCCGACACCUGCCGGUUGACGGCGAAAUAGAAGUCGAGGGCGGGGAGGGUGUCGCAGAGGUCCUGGCCGCCCUUCUGCUCGUCGAACCUGAAGCCGAGAUCCAUGGAUCCCCUCAGCUCAUCCAGGUCCCCGUCGGUU